CUCAAAAGUUUGGGGUCGGUAAGAUUUUUAAUGGAGUGUAAAGAGUGAAGGAUACUGUUCCUCCAGCAGCAAGUUCUCAGUGGCAUGUCUGUUCUCAUCGCCGAUGGAGCUGUCCAGCGUCCAAGGCUGAACACACACCAACAACAACACAUCAUAUCCAUUUUCAGAGUAUCUUUACAUAUAGUGUUAAAACAGUUAUCAUUUUAGGGUGAGCCAUAUUACUUUACCAGUAUACUGCUGUUUGUCUUCCAAGCAGACUGUACUGAUCCUGGAGAAUCUCAGCACUGCUUAGGUCCCUGUUAAGAGAGCAGACAAAUAAUAAAGACGUUAAUUCCACAAGAAUGUGUUUACAGAAAUCAGUUUACGAAAGACAACUAUGAAGUACACGAUUACAGAAGAUUUAAAAGUGCAUAGUUUGGUUAAAACUAUUUUAUUGAUUCUUUUUUAUUUCUUUUUUUACAUUUAAGUACACUGAGGAAUAUUUAAUUAACAACAUGUACUUACUAAAGGAUUAGGGCUUUGAUUUAGACUUAGUUGCAAGGCGUUAUGCAUUAUUUACUGUUAUUAUACUAUAGUAAUUGCACAUAACAUGUAAAAAUGACACUGUAAAAUAAAGUAUUACCAAGUGUGCUCUGUUAACACACAUUCCGUUUCUAGUAUCCACGUGUGUCAUGCGAAAAUUACUGGAUUUACAUUGUCAUCACAGCAGUUAAAAAUGAAUAUAACGUUGCUUAUAUGGUUAGUAACCAUUUUAUCAUAAAGUUUAUGUUAACAUGUAUAAUGUAUACGUUUUAUGGUUUUGAAAUGUUUAUUCCAAUGCAAAGUCUUGCCCCACACAGGCUUCCAUUGUAAAUUAGACUGCCUACUAAGGAUCCUUAACAUCGAGACAUCCUUAGAUGGAGCUUGAUAAUGUGGCAGCUUGGAUAUACAGCCUUAUAAUGAAGUGCCCUUCCAUUUGAGAAGCACCCAUUGCCUGGUCACCCUUAUGGACUCUUAGACCACUCCUUGUGCCUGUAAAGGAUCCUUAAGUGAUUUUCCUUCAUCAAAGUCUUACCUGUUCCAUUUUAAGUCUCCAGUGAUCUAUACUCACCUCUGUGUCUCCAGCGAUCUCCUGUACUCUCCUUCUAGUCUCCUCUGUGUACUCACCUUCUAGUCUCCAGCGAUCUCCUGUACUCACCUUCUACGAUCUCCUGUGUACUCACCUUCUAGUCUCCAGCGAUCUCCUGUGUACUCACCUUCUAGUCUCCAGCGAUCUCCUGUACUCACCUUCUAGUCUCCAGCGAUCUCCUGUGUACUCACCUUCUAGUCUCCAGCGAUCUCCUGUACUCACCCUCUAGUCUCCAGCGAUUUCCUGUGUACUCACCUUCUAGUCUCCAGCGAUCUCCUGUACUCACCCUCUAGUCUCCAGCGAUCUCCUGUACUCACCUUCUAGUCUCCAGCGAUCUCCUGUGUACUCACCUUCUAGUCUCCAGCGAUCCCCUGUGUACUCACCUUCUAGUCUCCAGCGAUCCCCUGUGUACUCACCUUCUAGUCUCCAGCGAUCUCCUGUACUCACCUUCUAGUCUCCAGCGAUCUCCUGUGUACUCACCUUCUAGUCUCCAGCGAUCUCCUGUACUCACCUUCUAGUCUCCAGCGAUUUCCUGUGUACUCACCUUCUAGUCUCCAGCGAUCUCCUGUGUACUCACCUUCUAGUCUCCAGCGAUCUCCUGUACUCACCUUCUAGUCUCCAGCGAUCUCCUGUGUACUCACCCUCUAGUCUCCAGCGAUCUCCUGUACUCACCUUCUAGUCUCCAGCGAUCUCCUGUGUACUCACCUUCUAGUCUCCAGCGAUCUCCUGUGUACUCACCUUCUAGUCUCCAGCGAUCUCCUGUGUACUCACCUUCUAGUCUCCAGCGAUCUCCUGUACUAUUUUUAUUUUUAUUUUGAAAAAGUCAAUUAUUUGUAGUUAUUAUACAUAUAAUUAUAAAACUUAUUUUAUUAUUACACAAUUGAUAAUUAUACAUGAAGGCCUACUAUUUACUAUUACUAUUAAAUUAUACAUUUUUAUUUUAGUUUUUUCUGUUAUUCUUAUUCUUUUAUGGUUCUUAUUAUUUGUCUUCUUCCAUAUCCAGCUGUAUCAGGUGGCCGACCACUUUCUUUUCUCCCAUUGGUAGUCACUGCAUCACAGCUUAUUUGCAAAUGUAUUAUUAUUGCUGUUGUUGUUAUUUCUCAUGCACCACAGCACAGGAGGCAUUGGCCUCCUUCUACCUCCACUAAGUUCAGCACAAACACCUCCCAAACACGUGUUAGUCUCCCACAAGAAGCUGAAUUGGACCCCAACCGUCACCCACCGAGCGAGGCAUCACUAUUGAUCUUCACUGUCAGUGAGAGAUAUAAAGCAGGUAUUCGCUAUGGUAAGAGUGACUCAGCUGAGCAAGGGUGAGUGAGAGCGCCACACCACCUGACGCCAUGAUUUGUUCCUAUAGAUGUGGAGGGACACCACUCAACAUCACCAUCAAAGACAGCGAUCCCGCGGGAAACUGAACACAGAAGCCCAUCCAUCACCCACUGAGGUGCUUCAUCAAGCUCUGUGAUGAGUGCAGCUGUAAUGCAAAGAUUACCAAUUCUCUGAGAUGUUGGCUUCUGAUAGGACGUCCUGCUUUUGUAUUAUUAUACAUCUUAGUCACUGAAGACUAUCGAGUUCGGAGUAUUUCUUCUAGGGCUGUCAAUUGUUUACACUUUUUAAUCUAAUUAAUUACACAGUUUGGCAAUUAAAUUAUCUAAUUAAUCACAUAUUAAUCACACAUCAAAUUUGGCUGAGAAAUAACCCACAAAAGAUCAUUUAAAGCCAUUAUUGUGUUACAAGAGAAAAUCAUGAAAUUGAU
ensembl:lncRNA